UUCGUAACAAGGUUUCCGUAGGUGAACCUGCGGAAGGAUCAUUA
rnacentral:rRNA from 2 species